GCAAAAUGUAAAUCACCGCAUGGACCACAGAAGAUAAAUAAGCUCUUGUCUUCGGCCACCCACGCAGUACUUGAGUUCUGCUCUCCGCAGGCCAAAGCUGCCUUCCUCUCCUCGGCAGCGUGUGCUCCACAGAAGAUGUCGAUCUCUCUCAGGAAGCAGCGAGAUGAAACGACUCUCAAAGUGGAGGAGCUGAGGCAUUUCAGCAUGAGACACAGCACGUAGUUUGGGAGAGCGAAAAGGGGUAGGAGGCUGCUAUUUCCAGACUGUGCUGCUUCUCAUCACUAACUUCAUGGCGAGCUGCAGUUCCUACUGCUCCUGCUCCAAAGAAACUGCUGGGGUAAAUAUCACCCUCGGGAGUUCCUCAGACACUCAUCUGUGGACUCCCAACACUACAAAACACAGGCUUGCAAGGGGCUCUUGCUGGCAGACAACUCUAACUCAGCCUCCUCGACUCCUGGUGUUGCAAAAUCAGCCACUGCAGAGCCACUUUCCUUUGACAUCCCCGCAUCCUGGAGCACCAUGGCUAAGUACAAACCUCGACUUCCAGUUUGCUGUAGUUGCCCAAGUUCUUACUGGCCCUCUUGGCAAAAAGGAGCUAAAAACUAGAUUCAUAAAUGGUCAAAGAAGAAGUAAAAAGAACUAAAACGUGCCUGUGUUUAACUAUCACAAUUUUUAAAGCAAUCUCAUGAUUUGGGGACGAUUCAACUCAAAGUUUUUUCAAAUUAUUUUUGCUAUGCUGCUUGCUAUGGGUGUUUCCUUGGUGGACUCCUCCUUUUGCUUUUUCAUUUCUCCUGGCUGCUUUAAAGCAGCUCGUUUAUUUCAGCUCUUUGAUCUCAGCACUAAACUACCUGAGCUUCCUCAUGGAAGAUGCCACAAGGGAUAGGUAGGGCGGGAGAGGCGGGGGGGCAGCCAGACAGGAUGCCUGGGAGAUAGGGAAGGGGAGCAGACAGCCAGGAAGCAUGUGUAGAGCAGCGGAGGGAGGAAGAAGAGCAGAUGGGAAGAAUGACUAAGCCAGCUCCUCUGAAUGCUGGUAGACCUCGAUAUCAUGGAAAUCUCCACAGAGCCCUCAUGGAACCGUGUGCCAAGAGAAAGUUUGGAUUUAUUUUUUUAACAUCAGAUUCGGCAGCUAAUUGAUGUGAGAGGAACUCAUUAGGAAAACACCUCAUCAAAAUUAGAGAUAAGCCUCAACAAGCUGUUGAAUGUUUUAGAGGUAUCUCUUCUGGUACUUGCUGUGCAAAUACUCUCAUCUGAGAACUCGCUUUUGGGAUCAGAAAAGCCUGUAUUGAGCAGAGUGAUUCUGCAUAGGCUUUAAUUUCCCUUAUAACCUUAUGAAGCCAGCACCUUACAAAUAACCAUACUGUUCCCUUAAACUCAGAGCAACCCUUACUAAAGGCUUUUAGAAAGAAAUGGUUGUGUUUCUGGGAUCUGCUCUGGAGAAUUAUGAGCCUCUAAUCCCUAAUAUUUCACGCCACAGUUGUCCCUCACCUUGCAGCACCCAUGGGAAUCAGUGACAGAUUAAAAUUGGCUUCCUGUGCUUCUUUCUACCAUUCCCUAGGUAUUUUUGGAUAGUUCUGAAUUCAAGCUGGGGAGUGGGGGGAAAAACAUCUUAGAGCAUCAACAUAGAGUACAUGAUUCUCAGAUGGAAAUGUCAUGGGAAAUGGGUUGCAAAAUGUUUGAUGUCUUUCUGGCACUGUGAAAGAAUACUCUGGAUAGAUUAUCACUGGGCUCAUUUCUAGGCAACACAGUAGGGUAAGAGGUUAGGUGCAGUCAGAUAGAACAGUAUUUACUUACAAGACAGAUUAGUUAUUUCCUUGUAACUUUGGGAAAAUUAGAAUACAGUGCUAUUGGUGUUAUAACCUGAUAUAAUAUUGAGCAUUUAGCAGAGAAUUUGGUAAGGCAAACAAAGCAAAAGUGGUUAAGAUUUUUAAAAAACAAGCGAACUCCUAAGAGAACAAAGACAAUGAAGUGGCUAUUAAUAUUCCUUCUUGGCAAUUAACAGCACAACCACAGGUGUCACAAUAUCACAACCUAACACCAGAAAUGCAGCUGGUUUUGUCCACGAAUUAAAACUCUCUCACCUCAACUGAAUUUCCAAGCAUGGGAAGCUGCCUUAGCCCAAGAUGGAGGGUAUGAGAACACUGUGUCCUACCACAGAAAGAAUGGGGAAGAUGGAGGUUGAGGACAACACAUAGCCAAAAAUAAAGAAAACACUAAAAAAAAAAAAAAUUAAAAAAAAAGAAAAAUCCAGUGUGGCUUUUUUUAAUGAGUCAUUAACACUGAAAGCAGAUAUGCAUUAACGAGGCUGUGAAUCUUCCUGCCAACCAAUUAACAUUCACCUUCUGAAUCUAGGGGUCUACUAGGUAUUUGCACAGAGGCAAUUUAUGUUGUGUGCAUGUCAGGGACUGAACUCAGCUGAAAAUUCAAAUUACAGCUUACACAAGCUGCAGUGGUCUCAACAGAAGAGCUGGACUUGGACUAUUUUCUCCUAGUCCUAUGGGGACAUGGGUACCAGGGGGUAAAACACUGUGCGAUCAGUCCAUGCACACUGAUGGGAAAAGGGGAUUAUCCUGCUGGACCAGAGCUUCUUCCAGCCCUGGCAUCUGCUUUGCAGGAGACUGCUCUCUCCAAACCACGAAGGAAAGGUGGUCCCAGACCCUGAGGACUUACAAUCAAAGAGGGACAGAGGCCGAGAUGAAAACUUAAGGACCUGUUGAUAUCAAUCAGUCUACUUCAUUCUAUCUGGAUGUUAUUGGUUGGCAGCUUUCCUGGGGUUUGCAAUAACACCUUCCUCUGAAGACUGAAAAUUCAGGAAAUUUAUUAUUUUAUAGAGUUUUCCAGAGAAUGUCCAUGUUUAGGAAGCAAAAGGGAGAGACUGUUGCUGAGGCAGAUACUGGUGUCCUUGAAGUCCUAGCGGAGCUCUUCCUGACUUGAAUGGCAUAGGAUCAAGGCUUCUCUGACCAACUUCUCCAAAACAGAAAUGGUUAAAUGGGAUCAAACAUAGGGGCACAAUUUCAGAAAUGAGAAAGAGCAAUUUUAGCCUGUGACACUCUGGGGUUGGUACCUGAUCUACGCAAAAGCCUGUUGCUUAAUACAAAGAGAUCAUUGUGAGAAGGGAGGGAAAGUAAUAACUAUAUUUGUACAUUAUUUCUUCUGCUAAAGCAAUGUACUGAAGUUGUUGAAGGAAAUUCCACCUGAUUGACAAAUUGUCAGGCUAGAACAGGAAAGCGACAAAACCAGGUCAAGUUAUUCCCUGUUUGCUUGUUUUCUCUUUGUAAUCAUAAUGUUGACUCUGAAAACAUGUUUUUUAAAUGGUGUAUUAAUUAUUGAAAUCCUGAGCUGUGAGCUGGAUUCUUUUUCUGGGCAAAAAAUUUGUUGCUCAUUAAAACUAAGAGAAGGAAAACACUGGCUUGAGCCUGGUUGUGCGUAGGCAGAAUUUCCCCGCUUCACUUUCCUUUACAGGCUACUCAUAAGGAGGCAUUGUGCUGUGAGACAGGCAGGCUACAGGGCAGGUGUGAACACCAACCCUGGAUCCUUCAGCAAGAUGUGAACCUAUAGCCAGGAGGGCUUCAUUGCUGUACUGACUGCACAACCGCAGUAAAGAUCUCAGGAAAAGACUAAUGGAAACAAAUUUCUCUCUGUGUAUUGCUUAUUGUGGCUAGAGGGGUUAAUGCUACAUCCAGGCUAACCCAACUCCUCUCCACAACUGUAGUCAUAUUCAGAGAUGCACAAACACGGCUCUGUACCAGAUGAAAAGAAAAUUUUUGUGGUAUGUACAUUUGGCAGAUGGAAAAUACUCACACCCCUUGCUCUGAGUGAAACAUAGUCCCCAUUUACAGAGCAAAGUAGGUUCUUUCAUUCUCUAAAAGUGAUCGUAUGCGUGGUAUUUGCUACCUGAUGGGAAACUCAGGAUUUCAGUGCUCAGUUCAGCUCGGCUGCAAGCAAAAGCAUCAUUGUCUUAAACUUGUGCUUUGUAAGUCGCUUCCUCGCCUCAAAAGUUGUCUUGG